GUGGCUGUAGCUCAGUUGGUUAGAGCAUCGGCUUGUGGUGCCGAGGGUCGCGGGUUCGAAUCCCGUCAGCCACCCCA
rnacentral:tRNA from 1 species